rnacentral:rRNA from 1 species
AGUCGAGAAUUUUUCUCAAUGGGGCAACUGAAGAGCGACGCCGCGUGGAGAUGAAGCUUUCGGGUGUAAACUCUGUCAUUUGGGACAAGGUGCAUCGAUUAACUGUCGAUGCAUUGAUAGUACCAGAAGAGAAGAGACGGCUAACUCUGUGCCAGCAGCCGCGGUAAUACAGAGGUCUCAAGCGUGUUCGGAUUCAUUGGGCGUAAAGGGUGCGUAGGUGGCGCCGUAAGUCAGGUGUGAAAUUUCGGAGCUCAACUCCGAGACUGCAUUUGAUACUGCGGUGCUUGAGGACUGGAGAGGAGACUGGAAUUCACGGUGUAGCAGUGAAAUGCGUAGAUAUCGUGAGGAAGACCAGUGGCGAAGGCGGGUCUCUGGACAGUUCCUGACACUGAGGCACGAAGGCUAGGGGAGCAAACGGGAUUAGAUACCCCGGUAGUCCUAGCAGUAAACGGUGCACGUUUGGUGUGGGAGGAUUCGACCCCUUCUGCGCCGGAGCUAACGCGUUAAACGUGCCGCCUGGGGAGUACGGUCGCAAGAUUAAAACUCAAAGAAAUUGACGGGGGCCCGCACAAGCGGUGGAGUAUGUGGCUUAAUUCGACGCAACGCGAAGAACCUUACCUGGCCUUGACAUGCAUCUCUAAGUUGGUGAAAGCCAGCGACUCCCGAAAGGGAGAAUUUGCACAGGUGCUGCAUGGCUGUCGUCAGCUCGUGUCGUGAGAUGUUGGGUUAAGUCCCGCAACGAGCGCAACCCCUGUGAACUGUCGCCACCCUCUUUAUUGAGGAGCACUCUGUUCAGACUGCCCUGUGAAACGGGGAGGAAGGUGGGGACGACGUCAAGUCAGUAUGGCCCUUACGGCCAGGGCUGCACACGUACUACAAUGCUCAGUACAGAACGAUCCGAGACCGCGAGGUGGAGGAAAUCUAGUAAAACUGAGCCCAGUUCGGAUUGGAGGCUGCAACUCGCCUCCAUGAAGCCGGAAUCGCUAGUAAUGGCGCAUCAGCUACGGCGCGGUGAAUACGUUCCCGGG